rnacentral:misc_RNA from 1 species
GAUGAAGAACGCAGCGAAAUGCGAUAAGUAAUGUGAAUUGCAGAAUUCAGUGAAUCAUCGAAUCUUUGAACGCACAUUGCGCCCGCCAGUAUUCUGGCGGGCAUGCCUGUCCGAGCGUCAUUUCAACCCUCGAACCCCUCCGGGGGGUCGGCGUUGGGGAUCGGCCCUUUCACCGGGUGCCGGCCCCUAAAUACAGUGGCGGUCUCGCCGCAGCCUCUCAUGCGCAGUAGUUUGCACACUCGCACCGGGAGCGCGGCGCGUCCACGUCCGUAAAACACCCCAAACUUCUGAAAUGUUGACCUCGGAUCAGGUAGGAAUACCCGCUGAACUUAAGCAUAUCAAUAAGCGGAGGA